AAAAAGAUCACAAAGAAAAGAAAAAAAAGAUCUCAAAAGAAAAUAAAAAGAUUACAGAAGAAAAGAAAAAGAAAAAAGAUCUCAAAAGAAAAAGAAAACAAAAGAAGAAAAGAAAGAAAAAAGAUCAAAGAAUACGAAAAAAGGAAAGAAAAAGAUAUGAUCAAGAAAAAAAAAAAAAGGAAAAACAAAUGUACGUUGAUGUAUAUUUUAUGAUUUUAUGUUAAGUUGGGUUAUUCCUUAUGUUAAGUAUUAAGUUAUGCUAAGUUAUAUUGGAAAUAGGCCCCCCAAUUUUUUUAGGGUGGGGGGAAGUAUAGUGUAAGGGGGUUAAUAGUAUAGUUAAGCAGAAGACAUCACGCACCCAAGCGACACAAGUCACAUGACACAUCGGCGGGAGGAACCACAACACAAUACAUAUACAGUAUACACGCCAUUAACAUCACUCCAUACUCAACCCCCGAGAGGUACAGACGUCCUGAGAGCUGUGCAUAACAAGAAUAAGGAUCUGAUCGGUUACGUUGUUGAUUGUCAUGUCCCGGAGUUCACAAGAGGCUUUCCAUAGAGCUAUGGUCCAUUGACGAUUGAAGGCAUCGUUGCACUUGAAGGAUUGCGUUUUGUCCAGUAAAAGACCUUUUGGAACAAUACCUUUGUCUUUGUAUAUUGAAAGGUAUUUUAAGUGUCCUCGAAGACGAGGACAACUGUCAACAACACACUGUACUUACGGACCCUACGCAGCACGCUGAAGCUUCAAUCUUUUGUCGUAGUUGCUGCACUUCUGCUCAGACCACCAAUCUUUUAACAUUUGAUGGCUAUCGAACAGGUAUGUCCUAUUUUGGUCGAUUACAUUUUCUAUCCAAACUGUUAUCUGAGAUGAACCAAAAUAUUUGAUUGCCAGACGAUACCAACUGGUCUUAUCGUAGUUCUCCAUGACAUCGAUCAGAAUUGAGCAAUGUCGUGAUGUCAAGUCUGGUAUUAGCAGCUCCUUUAUUUCAUUCUCAUCCAGUUCAGAUUUCUUGCAAUCAGGUACUGAAGGGAAUGAAGAACGACCUAAUCAAUAUUUUUAAUUAAGGUAUUCGUCUAUUUGCUGAAAGAAAUCAGGUAGUAAAGAAGUUAUCUUUUUAUGAAAUUUUGUCUCUUCUUACCAUCACUUAAUCCCAUCAAUGUUUUGGAUAUUACUAGGCGUAACUAGCUAUUUCUUAAUAUUAUUGUUAAAUGUCUGGGACAGGGAGGCGAAAGGCGAACUGAAUCACAUGCAAGUCUGCAUCACAAAAGCUCGCGCUUCGCGUUCGCAUUGGAUAUUUCGCGAAAUACGCAUCUCAUUUUUUCUUGACUCUCAAACCUGGUUGCUUUGGUCUUCUCUUUUCUAAUAAUUUUAUUGUUGAUCUUUGAUUUCCAAAACCUAUCGGUCAUUGCAAGAUCAGCUGCUCUCUGUCAAUUUAAAAGCCUUCCAACUUAUCUAAAAGACUGUAGAUCAGCAGAACAUCUCAAGGCCAGUUUGAAAACUAAAACUCAUUGAAUGGCCAAACGGUGAAGUGUAAUGUUAGGUUUUUGUGUAAUCCAUUGUAAGCACAGCGCCUUGAGCACCGUUAAUAGGGCGAAUGUAUUUUUAUAUUAUUAAUAUUCAGAAUUAUUUUUUGGUGAUAAGGCCUACACUGCCAAAACGCCGGUGUUGACUUAACACCGGCCCAUAAUCUAUAUAUGUCCACACCAGAGAAGUAUUGAAACAACACCCAACUUGGAAUCAAACCGAUGCCGUUUUAAUACUAAUUGGUGUUGUUUAAACACCUUUCUGGUGUUAGACCAAAAUGAAACUGGUGUUGUUUAACACUUCUCUGGUGUGAACAUAUAUAGAUUCCGGGCGUUUGCAGCAUAAAAGCAAACGUCCACAGAAUUUCAACUUGAGAUUCGAUCUUGCAUGAUAUCAUUAUUGCCGUAUGAAAUGUUUUUUUUUUAAUAAUUAAAAAAUAAAACAAAUUAAAUAACGCUUAAAUGUACUUCAAUUCCCCUCACCCCCUCCCCAUUCGAGCGUUUGAUCAGGGAAAAAAUAUAUGACAUUCUGCCCCAUGUGUCAAGGGUGGAUUUGAACACAUGAACUUGUGAUCGACGCUUUACUGAGCCAAUUAAUUGGAUCACUUUCAUAUCCAUUGUAUUUUAGGUAGGCCUUUAUUGUACACCCUAAGUACAGUCGUUUCCUUACUUCGGAAAAAAUCUAAAUUGCUUGGUGUGUAGUUGAUUGCCUCAAGUGCCAGGCUUAACAUCACUUCUUGAUUUCCAUGAUUGUUGGUAUCCCUCCAUUGCAUCAAUAAAGUCAUCACGUUUUUGAUGACACCUUUCUCUUUGUCCUUCCUUUCUUCAAGGGGUUUAUGCACCACUCCAAGUCCCUGGAGGAGUGCGAUGAUAUUCUCAGUGUUGGCAGUACUGUGCCACAGUGUGUGUUCUAGGUCCUCUAAUGUUAUAGCUCGUGUAGAUUCAGAGUAGUCUAAACAAUGAGAAUCACAUUCAUAUUACAUCAUUUCCCCUAGAUAAUCUAAAAAAAAAUUUUACGUUAAUUUCAGUACAAUCAGUAUGCAAGAUUACAAGACCAAUGUUAUAAAUUGUUGCAAAUAAAAAAUAUAUAUAUAUUUGGAGGUAAGCCGGCUGUUUAAAUUGGCCGUUUUGGCAAUUAUAAGUUUAGGAACUACAUGGAUGCCAGCUUAAGGUAAGGUUUUGAACAACUUCUUAGUCGGUCUGUUAAAAACAAACUUUCAGCAAAUACUACUUCGUGGAAUUGAUCGGAAGAAUUUAUCAAUGAAUGGAAUAUCAAAAAAGAGGAAAUUAUAAAACAUAUUUUUGGGGGUGUCUGUUUUAACCUUACCUCUUAAUUUGCCAACUACUGAAUUUAAGCCAGCUUUGCUACAUGCCUCUAGACAGGCUUCUUUCUGGGAGUUCCCAACGUAAUUAGCUUUCCAGUCACAAAACCUGUCGUAAUAAUUUCCAUUAGUGUCUGUUGGUGUCUUUGAACAGGUUCUGCUUCCACUGGUCGACAGUGAAAUUUCUUGCAUCAGACUUUUAAGAGCCUCUUCAAAUUUGGCAUCUUUGAUGCCUUUUUUGGUACCAAACUCCACCAAUUUCCACAGCUCAAUGUAUGAAAUAAGAUCUAUAGGUGGGUGUAAAGUGAGGAAAUUAUAUUCAAGCUGCUUCAGACAUUUCUCUCCACAAAUUAUUUCAAUAGGCACAUGUGCAAUAUUGAAUUGAAAUCUUAGAGCACUUUCAAAGCAACAAAAGUAUUUACUUUUCAUUUUAAAGAUCAAUUUUUGGUUACCUGCCCAAUUGAUAUUGUGAAUAUAAAACUACUUCUUCAUAUUGUGUUUUUUUUUUCUAUUUCAGCCUCAGCAAUUGAGGCAAACUAAAGUAACAUUAUGGAAAGUCUAAUGCGGGAUCAACUGUAUUUCCGCCAUAUUCACAACUUUACAAAAAAAAUCAUAAUUUCAUUUGGUUUGGAAUUCUAUUAAAUACCCUCGAUCAGGGUUAGCAUUUUUUCAACCCUUUUGUAUCCAAUUUGACAGUCUGUAUUUCAUUCACAUUCUGUUUCAAUCAACUUAAAACUCAAUAACUAUUGUUAUAUGACAUAGAACUAUGUACAGUACACCUGUAAAUAGUUCAUAUAAAAAAUAUUUUUUUAAAAAAAUCUUACCAUGUCUUUGGGGAUUAUAGACCAUAACCAUGGUUGGGACCUUGUCGUAUUUUCCUAUAAAGAAAAACAGAUUUAAAAAAAGAUUCAGUACUACAGACAACUAGUCGCUUCCCAACAUCACUGAUGUUCAUUUCUUUCAUCUAAAUUAUUUUAAAUCUAAGGCACUGGUGUUCCAAUGAUUUAUUCCGUUCAUAAGCAAUUUAAUCACUUUUUAAAAUAAUUAUCGACUUUCUAUUGAAAAUAAUGUCUUUGGUGAUGAAGAAAAAAUUGAAAUAAAAAAACAUUACUUACGUUUAUUCCGUCUCUUUACCACAUAUACUGUGAUGACAACACUUGUGACUACAAGUAAUAGUAUAAUUGCUGAAAUAUAAGAUAAAGUUAAUUGAAAUAACCAGUAUUAACAUUUCUAUGUAUGUUGUUUUAUAAGCUAUACAUUUACGCAAUUUCUAUAUUACCUGAAACAUAAAUGAAGUUAUGUAUGAAACACAUUCUUUAAAAUGUUCCAAAUAAAUCUUAAUCUGUGCUUCGUGCAAUAAAAUAUGUUGAUUGCAAGAUGUUUCAGUAAUAACAUGUUAAUCAGGAAGUAGCCUAGAUAGGUCUCUUUGGAUUUUGCCACUCCUUCACACCCCAUUCAUUACCCUAUGUAUUUUUUCAUAAUUUGUACAAUAUUAAUUAUUUACUCCAUUACUAUGGAAUCAUUUUGGUUGAUUUGAUUUGAUCUCGAUGUAUUGUAUCUUGUAUGUUUUAUUUUUAGAGAUGUGAAAUAAAUGAAUUUGAAUUUGAAUAGCUUCUUUAUACAGUGCGUCCCAAAAAAAAACUAUACACUUUUGAAAUGGCUGCCAAAUAAAAAAUAUAACAUUUUGGGGGAAAAGACUUACAUAUAU